UGGCAACAAUGAUGACAGGAAUUGUAACUGUAUGUAAUGUUUCAUUACUACAUGGAGACACCAGUCCCUCUAAACUGAUGUUGCCA
ensembl:snoRNA small nucleolar RNA, C/D box 127